ensembl:lncRNA
GUUGACACCAUGCAUGAAAUGGUCAAUGUAUCUAUUAUUAAUGGGAAUUUAGUUUUUAUUUAGUUCGAUAGACAGAUCUUGUGGUAAUAAUACUGCUUUCAUGUACAUGGGCUAUUAGUUCAAGUGGUUUUAUUGUCAUUUCAGUCAUGUCAUUUCGUUUCACUGUGUACUGUAGGAACUGUAUAUACAGCUGGUACAGUACACAGUGAAACGAAACAACGUUCCUCUAAGACCAUGGUGCUACAUAAAACAACACACUAACCACAUGAGACACAGAACUAAAUAAGAUCUGCAAACAUUCUACAUAAAGUGCACGUGCAAAUGUGUGCUAACAACACAGGACAGUAGAGUACUACUAAAACAGGACAAUAUGCACAGUAAGUGACAGUGUAGCGCCGAACAGUACACAGUUCUAGUGUGGAAGUGUCCGAUAUAAUAGGUAGUGCAGAAGAUAGGUGCCAAGGAGUAACAAUAUAAUUUUAAAAUGGUGUAAAUGUAAACAUAACAUGCUAAGACUGAGUAUUCAGCAAAUUAGCUUACACCAAAUAUGAACAUAGCAGUUAUAGUGGUAACAGCCAGGUAAAGUGUAUAUAAAGUGUAUAUAGUGACAAUAAAUUGGAUACUAUAUUUUUAUAAUACAGUAGCAGCAAAAAAUGCAACAGAGUCAAUGCAGAAAUGUGCAAAUAUUUCAAUGGGAGUUGGAUGGUGUUCAGUUCAUGGUGUGUGUGUGUGUGCAUACAUCAGUCCAGUCUCUGAGUAUUGAGGAGUCUGAUAGCUUGGGGGAAGAAGCUGAUACACAGUCUGGUUGUGAGGGCCCAAAUGCUUCGGUACCUUUUUCCAGACGGCAGGAGGGUGAAGAGUGUGUGUGAGGGGUGUGUGGGGUCAUCCACAAUGCUGGUGACUUUGCGGAUGCAGCAUGUGGUGUAAAUGUCUGUGAUGGGGAGAGAGAGACCCCGAUGAUCUUCUCAGCUGUCUUCACUAUCCGCUGCAGGGUCUUGCGAAACCAGUGAGGUGCAAUUUCAGAACCAGACAGUGAUGCAGCUGCUCAAGAUGCUCUCAAUAGUUCCUGUGUAGAAUGUGGUGAUCCUCACUGCCACGUCAUUCUGUGUCUCAAACCGAGCACAGAAGUUGUUCUGGAAGGGAGGCAUUACUGUCACAGGCGGGUGAUGUUGUCCUGUCGUUGCUGAACUGGAACUUUAGAACUUAGAAAAUUAGAACUGGAGUAAGAAGAAGCGGCGUCUGAUUGGAUGAUGACCUGUCGUCACUUCCGCCUGAUUUCAACGUUGUAUGCGUGAUGCAGCAAGUGUAGCGAAACAGAAACGUCGAGAAAACGCCCAAGCGAACAUCUCUCUCCUUCGUCAGCGGUUUAGUUUUUGAUUCCGCAAAACUAAAUUAUCUUUUGUUUAAGUUAUUUACUUAUUAUAAAUAACGUACUUGUUUUAGUACGCGCGUCGGUAUGUGUAUUGACGACAUGGGAACAGAAGGGAGAAAGCAGCGCGAAAGCCGCUCCAACGGGUUUAGAAGGAAGACGGGUGUUGUGGAAGCCGCUGUACGGAGGUCGUCGAGGAAGCCUGGACGUCGUUCUCACAGCUUGGCGUCGGUGAAGGAGAAGCAGAAACAUUCAGACGCGCUCCCGUCGGGAGCGAUGGCGCCGAGAAACACCACGCAGUACCUCAUGGAGCAAGUCUACAGCGACCUGAACAUUACCGCGCUGUCCCCUAAACUGACACCGGGACUUCGAGAGCGUGUUCUUUCAGAAUGAGAUCUGAAUCGACGCCAUUUUGACGGCCGCCAUCUUGGGCCGGGGAAAAAAACCAAGAAGUCCGGAAACUUGCCGGCUGAACCUGAUUAAAAUUAAACGACACGCAUGCGCAGCAGGAGGCUCGUGGCUCUGCGGCACCAGAGUGUAAGCCCCGCCCACGCCUGCUCAGACACAUGUGCACACAGGUAAACCUGCUCCACAAAGGUGUGUGUGUAUGCUCUAUAUUGUGUUUGUGUUCUGCUGUGCAUCUGUGUUCGAGAGACUUUUGCAGGUCUGCUGCUCCAUCGCUGAUGGCUUUCAGCUGAACUUUCUGAGCAGUGGCGGUCAGAAGGACACGAGGCCGAAAGGCUCCCAGUCUUCAGGCCUGGGUAACUCUUAUUCUGAUCACUCUUAUUGUACUCUGAUGCACUGAUGGACAGGACGUGACCGGCUGAUGGACACGUAAAGUGACCAACUGCAGUUUACGUGAUGUGUGGGGCCGGUAAAUGAUAAUACCGUAAUAAAUUAAGGUUAGAGUUUAUUUUCUGACACAGAGAAUGUAGCUUGUACUUUGUUAAUACGCAACACUACACUGUUUACGUUUACUUUCAAAUAAAAUAAUUCAAUAAGUCUCUAUGUUCUGAAUUCAACAGUCUGACUGUAUUGUAAACAUCUCUGUUAAGGGAGCAGCAAAAGGAAAAAGUUCGUGACUUAACACUUUUUUGGAAACAAUAAGUUAUCACUGCAUGUAUUAUCGGAAGUAUUGAUUAUUCCUCAUUAUCCACGAUGGAGUGGGAGAUGGUGACUGAUUCCGAUAACGAGGAAACCAAUUACCUGUGGCCUUUUUUGUUGAAGUUAAGGCAGUGUUUUCCCAACAGGGGUACUCUGUCUAAAAAUCCUUCUCACAUUUCUAAAAUGUGAGUAAAAUAUUGUAGGUGAAAUAAGAUACUCACAUGCAACAAUAAUAAGUGUGUAUAUGUAAUUAUUAAAAAUAAAUCAUAAAACCCAGUAAAUCUUGAGAUUGUCAUUGGUCACAUUACAACAAACGAUAGGAUAGCUAUAUAUAUGACCUUUUUUUAUUAAGAUUAUUAAACAUGGACCUUUUGCCUUCAUUAAAUAGACUUAUUAUUUAUUGUAGGCUCAUUUUGUAAACAUUUUUCAUUACUGUAUACAUAAGCAAAAAGUGGGAGCUUCCUGCAAAUGUCAUUUCUCACAUUUACAAAAUCAGGUGAUCAUGUUCAUGCAUCACAUGUAUAGAGACAAAAGGAAGUUAUUACAGGAUGUUCGCUCUGUAUGGCCACCCGUCCAUGUAAACGUCUCUCUGUAUAAAGAGAAAAGUAAGCGGUUCAAUCACUGUGUUUUUGUGAAGAUAGUGAUGAAUGAAAACAUGGUGCACUCCCCAAAAACACUUUCAGCUUUGGCUUUAUUUUUUCAACAGAAUGUACAAAGCAAAUCCAAAUCGCUAUUUAAAAAAAAAAAAAAAAAACCUAUCCAUGAAUUUUGUGCCAUCUGGCUGUCUCUAUGGUCCCGCAUAGAUGGAUCAUGGAGAUACCUGUAGCCUACAAUCAUACCUUUCGGCAGGAUUCACCUUGAAGUCAUUCAAUUCCAACGUCACGCGGUAAGUUAGAAAAAAAGGGCGUGCGAACACGAAAACGCUGCCUUAAGGAAUCAAAUAAUAAAUCUCACACCUUGUUAUAUGUAAUCUUUGCAAAACAGAGAUUAAAAUUCUUCUAAUGUGAAAGACCCGUUUAGAAAAUGAGCGUGAUUGUUCUGUUAAAUUGUUUAAUCUGUUUAUGCAGAAUUAUACAGUUAUUCUUAAGCUGGUUCACAAUCAUGACGUACCAAAAAUGUUGCCCAAUUAAGUAAUUGGAGUAAUUAGGUUGGAGUUUUCCAACCUAAAUUAAAUGUUUAUUUGCUAUGUUAAUAAUUAAAAAUAUAUAUAUUGUGAAUAAUACACUCCACAUUGUAUAUUUGUAUGAGAUUUUUAUAGGCCAAUACUGUUUUGUUUUUAACUCGGAGACUACGACACGGCCGGACCAUAGGUGACAGUACAUGCACGUCAAACACCGCCAAUAAAUCCACAGAAGAAGAAGCGGCGUCUGAUUGGAUGAUGACCUGUCGUCACUUCCGCCUGAUUUCAACGUUGUAUGCGUGAUGCAGCAAGUGUAACGCAACAGAAACGUCGAGAGAACGCCCAAGCGAACAUCUCUCUCCUUCGUCAGGGGUUUAGUUUUUGAUUCCGCAAAACUAAACUAUCUUUUGUUUAAGUUAUUUCCUUAUUAUAAAUAACGUACUUGUUUUAGUACGCGCGUCGGUAUGUGUAUUGACGACAUGGGAACAGAAGGGAGAAAGCAGCGCGAGAGCCGCUCCAACGGGUUUAGAAGGAAGACGGGUGUUGUGGAAGCCGCUGUACGGAGGUCGUCGAGGAAGCCUGGACGUCGUUCUCACAGCUUGGCGUCGGUGAAGGAGAAGCAGAAACAUUCAGACGCGCUCCCGUCGGGAGCGAUGGCGCCGAGAAACACCACGCAGUACCUCAUGGAGCAAGUCUACAGCGACCUGAACAUUACCGCGCUGUCCCCUAAACAGACACCGGGACUUCGAGAGCGUGUUCUUUCAGAAUGAGAUCUGAAUCGACGCCAUUUUGACGGCCGCCAUCUUGGGCCGGGGAAAAAAACCAAGAAGUCCGGAAACUUGCCGGCUGAACCUGAUUAAAAUUAAACGACACGCAUGCGCAGCAGGAGGCUCGUGGCUCUGCGUCAUGUGCCGCUGUCCCGAGAGUGUAAGCCCCGCCCACGCCUGCUCAGACACAUGAGCACACAGGUAAACCUGCUCCACAAAGGUGUGUGUGUAUGCUCUAUAUUGUGUUUGUGUUCUGCUGUGCAUCUGUGUUCGAGAGACUUUUGCAGGUCUCCUGCUCCAUCGCUGAUGGCUUUCAGCUGAACUUUCUGAGCAGCGGCGGUCAGAAGGACACGAGGCCGAAAGGCUCCCAGUCUUCAGGCCUGGGUAACUCUUAUUCUGAUCACUCUUAUUGUACUCUGAUGCACUGUGAGUUCACUGUGGAGAUGUUUGAAAGGUAACCAGGCUUGUGCACUUUGUAUAUAAAUUUGUGUUUAAAGAAAAUGUAUUAAAGUUAUUUUGCUUACACUUUUGGCAUGUUUUCUGACUUUGCAUAAGGUCCAGGAGAAAUGCUAUUAUUCAGGGUAUUUCUAUUAAUUAUUAAUGUAGGGGGAAAUAAUUUUUUUUAACCGUAGAGAAAAUUACUUUACAAACUGUGACCCAUUGAUACCAUUUCACAAACCAUACGCAAUUGCAACAGUACAUCUGGAAUAAGAAAACAAUACCAAAAAAAACCCCAGGUAAGUUAUUGGUGUAAAACGGUACGCAAGGUGCCCACUAUAGGUUUUUCCUAAACAAAAAAAAGUUGUGAAGCAAAGAUCAAAGCUUUGGGAACACGGAAAUAUCUUCAGUGGUUCAAAGUACAAUUCUUUUUAUGGCCUUUUCCUUUGUAAAAGCUAGGAUGUUCUGACAUCUUGAACACCUACAAGGGUUCUGCCCGACUCAACACCUUGACCCCCCCCAAACGUUGCAUAAUCAUUAAUGUUGGGUGUCUGUUAGUGAUGAGAAGAUCAGAUCAUUUUACUUGGGUCUUUGAAUUUGAAUCUCGUGCUGCCAAAUGAACCGAGCUUCGUCAUUUUGUUCAUAUGAGCAGAAUUGUGUUGAAAUGUAAAUGUUAGCUUUAGUAGCCGAUUUCCCCCGAACACGCUUACAUGGGUAUUUAUGGCGUUUGGCAGACGCAUUUAUCCAGAGUGACUUCGAAUUAUGUCUCUUUAUUUAAAAAAAAAAAUGUAUACACAACUGAGCAUUUGAGGGUCAAGGGCCCGGCAGUUGCAUCUUGGGUUUAAACUCGCGACCUUCCUAUCACCGUCUUGACCACUGAGCUAGCACUUCCACACAUAAGGACAAAUUGAGUGAGUAUUAAUUCAACGUUCAACUGGGUCUUCUGGUCCGAGUCGUGCAGUCUUUAGUCACGUUAGUCGGGUAGGCUAUGUACAGGAAACAGAAAUGAUUAGGUGUAGGAGAGGCUUGGGAAGUGAAUUUUAAUCAUUGUUUCCUGUGCAGAGAGAGAGCAGCACAUUCAGAGUGUGAGAAAAUAAGAGACAUGGUCACUUCUAACAUCCUUUGAAUGAUUGUUUUGCAUGUAAAUAUAGCAGACAUCCGGUGUUUGUGCGUAGCUAAUUACAAGUAGCUACAUUACUAACUUAACUACACUUUCAGUAGUGUGACAGCUUUGUUACUUUAAAAAAUAGUCUAGCUUUCCAAGUAACGAGGUACUUUUUCCAAACGAGUAGGGAUUGUAGGAACCAAGCUAAAUGAGAAUAUGUAGGCUAUAAAUCUAAAUUGAACCUCCAUAUUUUUUUUUACUUUUUUCAUUUACAUUAUUAAACAUGGAUCUUUUGCUUUCCUUAAAUAGGCUUAUUAUUUAUUGUAGGCUCAUUUUGUAAACAUUUUUCAUUACUGUAUACAUAAGCAAAAAGUGGGAGCUUCCUGCAAAUGUCAUUUCUCACAUUUACAAAAUCAGGUGAUCAUGUUCAUGCAUCACAUGUAUAGAGACAAAAGGAAGUUAUUACAGGAUGUUCGCUCUGUAUGGCCACCCGUCCAUGUAAACGUCUCUCUGUAUAAAGAGAAAAGUAAGCGGUUCAAUCACUGUGUUUUUGUGAAGAUAGUGAUGAAUGAAAACAUGGUGCACUCCCCAAAAACACUUUCAGCUUUGGCUUUAUUUUUUCAACAGAAUGUACAAAGCAAAUCCAAAUCACUAUUUAAAAAAAAAAAAAACCUAUCCAUGAAUUUUGUGCCAUCUGGCUGUCUCUAUGGUCCCGCAUGGAUGGAUCAUAGAGAUACCUGUAGCCUACAAUCAUACCUUUCGGCAGGAUUCACCUUGAAGUCAUUCAAUUCCAACGCCACGCGGUAAGUUAGAAAAAAAAAGGGCGUGCAAACACGAAAACGCUGCCUUAAGGAAUCAAAUAAAAAAUCUUACACCUUGUUAUAUGGAAUCUUUGCAAAACAGAGAUUAAAAUUCUUCUAAUGUGAAAGACCCGUUUAGAAAAUGAGCGUGAUUGUUCUGUUAAAUUGUUUAAUCUGUUUAUGCAGAAUUAUACAGUUAUUCUUAAGCUGGUUCACAAUCAUGACGUACCAAAAAU